CAGGGCGUAGCUACAACACAAAGCAUUCAGCUUACACCUGAAAGAUAUCUGCCACCCCAGAUCACCCUGAA
rnacentral:tRNA from 1 species